AUUGAACGCUGGCGGCAGGCCUAACACAUGCAAGUCGAACGGUAACAGGAAACAGCUUGCUGUUUCGCUGACGAGUGGCGGACGGGUGAGUAAUGUCUGGGAAACUGCCUGAUGGAGGGGGAUAACUACUGGAAACGGUAGCUAAUACCGCAUAACGUCGCAAGACCAAAGAGGGGGACCUUCGGGACUGUUGCCAUCGGAUGUGCCCAGAUGGGAUUAGCUAGUAGGUGGGGUAACGGUUCACCUAGGCGACGAUCCCUAGCUGGUCUGAGAGGAUGACCAGCCACACUGGAACUGAGACACGGUCCAGACUCCUACGGGAGGCAGCAGUGGGGAAUAUUGCACAAUGGGCGCAAGCCUGAUGCAGCCAUGUCGCGUGUAUGAAGAAGGCCUUCGGGUUGUAAAGUACUUUCAGCGGGGAGGAAGGGAGUAAAGUUAAUACCUUUGCUCAUUGACGUUACCCGCAGAAGAAGCACCGGCUAACUCCGUGCCAGCCGCCGCCGUAA
rnacentral:rRNA from 1 species